CUCUUGGGGCGCAGCGCUACGCGCGGUUUCCGUGACGGAGCUGGUGGGGGGAGGUCCCACUACAAGCCACGGGCCUGUAAAUGGCGUCUGUAAAGAGCGUUGGGAAGAGAGAGGGAAAGCAGGCACCGGUCACUCCGGAACCGGUCUAGGCACCCCGGAAGCGGCUCCCAAAGAACGCCGGUCCGAAAAAGGAAGAGGAGAAGAUGCAGAAGAUAACAGUCCGAAAGAGAACAUCCUAACUGAAGUCCCCUCCCAGGAAGCAGCAGGGCCUGGAUUCCAAAGCAAGCCUGUCUCACCCUAGAGCAAGCCCGCGUUCCCCUCCCCCCCCCAGGCGGCCUGCCUAGCGGUGAGUCAGUGGUGCAGACAAGCACCCGAAACCUGCCUUUUCUCAUUAGUGGCAUGGUUGUGUGGGUGUAUCACGCCCUAACCAUUUCCCUAUUGAUAAACAUUUGGGCUGUUACUGAA